AGUGAACGCUGGCGGUAGGCCUAACACAUGCAAGUCGAACGGCAGCACAGUAAGAGCUUGCUCUUACGGGUGGCGAGUGGCGGACGGGUGAGGAAUACAUCGGAAUCUACUUUUUCGUGGGGGAUAACGUAGGGAAACUUACGCUAAUACCGCAUACGACCUACGGGUGAAAGCAGGGGAUCUUCGGACCUUGCGCGAUUGAAUGAGCCGAUGUCGGAUUAGCUAGUUGGCGGGGUAAAGGCCCACCCAGGCGACGAUCCGUAGCUGGUCUGAGAGGAUGAUCGGCCACACUGGAACUGAGACACGGUCCAGACUCCUACGGGAGGCAGCAGUGGGGAAUAGUGGACAAUGGGCGCAAGCCUGAUCCAGCCAUACCGCGUGGGUGAAGAAGGCCUUCGGGUUGUAAAGCCCUUUUGUUGGGAGAGAAAAGCAGCAGGUUAAUACCCCGCUGUUCUGACGGUACCCAAAGAAUAAGCACCGGCUAACUUCGUG
rnacentral:rRNA from 1 species